CGAGAGAAAAGGAGAACUUAGUUCAUUCUCUUGCACACUUCAAGACCAACCGAGAGAGUGAGAGAGAGAGCUCUGCAUUUUUCCUUAGGUAGCAACAACUGAGAGAGGAAAAAAAAAACAGAGCAACCGAACAGCUUUUCCAUUUCUGCACUUUUUAACCAACCAAAGCCGAGAGCUAAGAGGAGAAACCAGUCUACAACUUCGAGUAUUAGCUACAUCAGCGAGGGGAAAAGGGAUAGCUGGUGCAAGAAUUGAAGGAGCUGAAGCAAAGAGAGAUAGAGCCGUUUGCUAUUAUCAAAUUCUAAGGGAAAAGAGGUAAGAAUCUACCAUAAUUUUCUGCUUAGUUAGCGCAAAUGAGUAUAUAUACAAUCUGCAUGUUAGUUUUUAGUAAGGAACAAUAGGUUGACCGAGGAGAAAUCUGUUAAAGGAGGAAAAAAAAAUGGGAACUGGACAGAAAUAGAGGUAACUGAGAGUUGUUGAGUUGCGGCUCAUGAAUGAAAUAAAUUUUCUGCAUUAACCUCUUAGUUAUUCAGUACCCUUGAAUAUUAAGGUUGCAUGUUGGAUUUUAACUAAGAAAAAAACCAUGUUUGGUUGAAGGAAAUGGUUGGAAGUUUCUGCUAAGCUGUCCGAGGGAGGAGAGAUGGAAAUUCCCAGGUUUCUUUAUAGAUUUUGGGUUUAAACUCCUACGCUGAGGUUUAACCCACUGCCUAAUAUGUUAGUCUUGGCAUGCAUGUUAGAUUUGGGUAUGAAAUGAAGUAGUUAAUGGAGAAGUCCUCGCUUAAAAUCUGAUUGCUGUCCGAAACUUUACCAAUCAUGGCCGAAAGAGAGAAACAAGUUCUCAUCAGCUUUUUCUUCAAAGUUUUAACUGUAAACUUCAUGUGUGUUGGUUAAGGCUACUCUGUAGUUUAAUACUUGUAUUUGGUAUGAUGAGCUGGAGUUAAAACUGAAGGAGUUAUGGUGAAAAUGUUGCAUAUUAAACUGCUACACUGCUGGAAGCUUUAGUUGUUCAAUGCCAUAGCUAAUGCCAGAUAGUUGAAUAAUUUGUUAAAACUAGAUGCUAUUUGUCUUGGUUUAUGCUGGACUGAAUGUACUUUAAGUAUUUAGAGCUUUAAGCAAGUGAAAGAAUAGAGUUUUUGCCGAAAGCUUGAAGUAACGUUACUAGUUCUGGUUGCUGUCCGAUAGAAUGAAGCAGAUUGUGCUUCUGACCGUCCCCUUUUGGCCUUGGAAAUGCAAGAACUGGAUGUCGAUGUCUUCAUAGGAAAUGUAGGUCUAGGUCUUAGCUUCAAAACGCUAUAAAAUUCGCCUCAAUCUGAUAAGCGUACCUCCAGUUGUGAUCAAAACAUCAGAGGGUGGCAAAGCUGCCUUUCUUGUUGCUUUCCUCUUGUUUUCCGAAUGUAACUUGCUUUGAUGCUGGCCUUGAGGAAACCAUAUUUUGAGCAGCAAUUCUUCUAAUUUCCAACUUUGUAAGCUUACAUAAAUGAUAGUUACGGUUGCCCUGAGAUUUAACAACUAUAUCUAGUUCUACGAGUAGAGUUAAACUAAGGCAAUUGAGAGGAAAACUCAUGAUAAUUAUAUACAUAAAUUGCCUUUUAAUCACUUAAUCUUGUCUUCAUGAAUAUUUUAGAGACUAUAAAACUUGAGAGGUUAGGAUUGUGGAAUAAAAUUUAAUUUAGAAACAACCUAGAGUUUAGUUAGUUUAAAAAGGGAAAAUGGAAUAUCUAUAAGCCAUAAUUAAUAUUGGAUUGAGAAAGUAUAUUGAUUUGAACGAUUAUACAAGUUUAUAAACUUAAGAUAGGUAUGUUCCAUGGUUUAAAAAUAAUAAAGUCAAUAAGUUUCGAAAAUAAAAGGAUGAAUAAAUAUUAAGAAUGUUAAAUUUGUAUUUUAUGGUCAAACUUGAUUUUAAUUAGUUAAAUAAAGAACAAUAAGUGAACAUCUAUAAAUUAUAUAUUCACUUUGGAAUUAUGAACUUGUCUCAGGAAGUAGCUGUGAGCCAGAAAACGAACCCGUGGCUCGAGAAUAAUUUAUUUGGGUAUUUGGUGAGUGUUUUCCCGAAUUUAUGUGUUUAACUGUUUAUGUGUCUCUAAAUGAAAUUAUGUGACAAAUGUACUUAUCAUGAAUUAUUACUAAAUGAUUCCUUGUGAAGUGUAUCUCAAUUGUCCCUCGCCUUCUAAGUCAAGAGUAUACUUUAUCGCACUCGGUUUAGUUGAGUUUGAAGGUCGAUAAUUGACUGAAUGUUACUGUAAGUGUGCAUGAAUGUAAGCCGUAUAUGUGCCUCGCCUCAUCGGCUGAACUAGGCCCCAAAACCCUCUGUUCAAUGGACUAUUCGAGCCAGCAAAGGAUUUGGUCGGGUCGGACGGUAGCUUUGGGCAAAUGUUUUGGUAUACUCGAGUAUUACUAUGAGGUUAGGAGAUUAUUGAACUGAUUAUUGAAUGUAGGGGAUUGUUUAUUGUUUUGGAUGACAUAAGGAGGUGAAUCGGUGGAAUGUGCAAUGAUAUUGAAAUGAAUGUACAAUGACAGUGAAAUGAGUGUCUCUUGACACUGAAAUGAAUGCUCAAUGACAUUGAAGUGGCUCUAAUGCGAGCACCGUAUCCUUUUAAAAGUAAUUGUUUAGUGAAGUAUUUCCUCAAUUGCUUAAUGAAAGUGAUUGUAAACGUUUAUUGUACUUGCUUAAUUGUACUGAUUUAAACGUUUAUUAGCUGUUAGUUGCUUGGCAAGCCUCACUGAGUUUUAGCUCAACCUUUUAGCUUGUUUUCCUUACAGGAGUUGGAGAUUGAAGAGUGAUUGAAGUGAAUUGGAAAGUUAAUUUUGGGAUGAUCUGUUACUGAGUAUAUAUUGUAGUCAUGAUUUCUUUUAUAUUUCGAGAUGGUUGAAUCUUUUGUUUUGAGUUUGGUGUGAUAUUAAGAAUGGAUGUUUAGAACAUGUAUUUUGUUUCUUUUAUUGGACAAAUUUAUGUUUCAAGUUGAAUGGAGUUGUACCUAAGAGUAAAUGUUCAGUUGUUUAAUG
rnacentral:lncRNA from 1 species